rnacentral:rRNA from 1 species
GACGAACGCUGGCGGCGUGCCUAAUACAUGCAAGUCGAGCGGACGAAUCGAAAGCUUGCUUUUGAUUCGUUAGCGGCGGACGGGUGAGUAACACGUGGGCAACCUGCCCUGUAGACGGGGAUAACACCGAGAAAUCGGUGCUAAUACCGGAUAACACGAAAUGUCGCAUGACGUUUCGUCGAAAGACGGCGCAAGCUGUCGCUACAGGAUGGGCCCGCGGCGCAUUAGCUAGUUGGUGAGGUAACGGCUCACCAAGGCGACGAUGCGUAGCCGACCUGAGAGGGUGAUCGGCCACACUGGGACUGAGACACGGCCCAGACUCCUACGGGAGGCAGCAGUAGGGAAUCUUCCGCAAUGGACGAAAGUCUGACGGAGCAACGCCGCGUGAGCGAAGAAGGCCUUCGGGUCGUAAAGCUCUGUUGUUAGGGAAGAACAAGUAACGCAGUAACUGGCGUUACCGUGACGGUACCUAACGAGAAAGCCACGGCUAACUACGUG